ACGCAUCGCGUCACCCCCCACCCAAUCCCUAUGUGGUUUUGUGUCUGUGGGGGUGGAAAUUGGCCUCCCGUGAACCACAAGUCUGCGGCCGGCCCAAAAAAGAUCCCAGACCAGUGGGAGUCACGACUAGUGGUGGUUGAAAACUCAACUUGCGUGCUGUCGCGACGAUUCCGUUGUGUUUGGGUAUCAAUGCGACCCAAUGGCUCUUCCUAGGAAGCGUCUCCGACC
rnacentral:misc_RNA from 1 species